CAAUAGCGUAUAUUAAUGUUGUUGCAGUUAAAAAGCUCGUAGUUGAAAUUCUGGUGUGGUCGGACCGGCGCUGCCCUGAAUGGGGCUGAUUGUCUGCGUCUGACCUGGCCAUCUUGGGUCUUGGCGACAGGACCCUCGUUUACUGUAAAAAAAUUGGAGUGUUUCAAGCAGGACGUAGGUUCGGGACACAUUAGUAUGGAAUAAUGAGAUAGGACUUGUGGUCUAUUUUGUUGGUUUGCAACCGCAGGUAAUGGUUAACAGGAACAAUUGGGGGUAUUCGUAUUUAACUGUCAGAGGUGAAAUUCUUGGAUUUUUGAAAGACGAACUACUGCGAAAGCAUUUACCAAAGAUGUUUUCAUUAA
rnacentral:rRNA from 1 species